GACGAACCGUGCAAACGUUAUUCGGAAUCACUGGGCUUAAAGGGCGCGUAGGCGGGUGAUCAAGUCAAUGGUGAAAUCCUCCAGCUUAACUGGAGAAGUGCCUUUGAUACUGAUUGUCUAGAGGGAGGUAGGGGCAUGUGGAACUUCAGGUGGAGCGGUGAAAUGCGUAGAUAUCUGAAGGAACGCCAGUGGCGAAAGCGAUGUGCUGGACCUCUUCUGACGCUGAGGCGCGAAAGCUAGGGGAUCAAACGGGAUUAGAUACCCCGGUAGUCCUAGCCCUAAACUAUGGGUACUAGAUUGUGGACUUUCAUGGGUUCACAGUCGAAGCAAAAGUGUUAAGUACCCCGCCUGGGGAGUAUGGUCGCAAGGCUG
rnacentral:rRNA from 1 species